GUUAUCGAGAGCCUCUAUCUAAGAACCUGUCAAUUGCCGCAAAGUAGCAUGCACACGCGAGUGUAUUCGAAUUCCGAUGCGCACGUAUAAAGAGCCAAUCAUUAGAGACGAUUAAAGGGUGGAGGUCCGCUUCGCUUCGUGUCGUUAGAGAUGAGAGGUCGCGGAAAACGCUGCACAGACGAGCCUUCCUGCAUUCUAAAUCGUGAAACAGCUUUAUCCUAUGAACUGUACUGAUCAUCCGCACAGUCUCGUGAAACAUUAUCGAACUUUUUCCCUUUGAAUACAUGAAAAAAUUCAAACUUGCGUGUGAGAGUUUCUGCAAUUCUGAUCCUAACAACCGAUAUCAAAAGAGUACUUUCCAUAAAUAAUAAUAUUUUAAUACAAGAUUUUUCGUAACAAUAGUUUAAGAACGCCAACAACGAGAUUAACGUUAUCAAGAUUUAAUUAUCAAUUUUGAAUAGUCGUUAACUGACGAAAGAUAUUUAUCAGAGCGAAUCAUUAAUUGAAAUCAGUGAAGACACUCAUAAUCCGGGACGAUCGAAUGAAUCGUCCUAACGUAAUCGAAACCUACCGCAAUUCCGCGAGGUACAUUACACCGCCACGUUAAUCGAAGAAUUAAUAUCCCGCGUGGUUUUCUUCCGUCACACGAUACUCCGGCGUCGGAUCCACGGUAAGGUCCAGCCAGUCCAGAGCCGGUCAAUUACUUGGCGCGGUAGCUUGGCUCCAUCGCUUCCGAGGCUACAUUGGAGAAUAUAAACCCAGAGAGAGAGAGAAAGACAGACGUCCGACUCUCGCACGCCGAUCAAAAUGUCGAGCGGUCGGAAAAAAUUCAGGCCGAUUCACGACGGCGACUCGACGUUUCCGCGGAGGAAGCGAUGGAAGAGCUCGCGUAUCAAAUUGAAACGUUACGGAAAACGAUGGCGCAUCGUCGAGGGAGUACCGGCGAGAGUAGCUGUUGCGGAUGAACCGGCUAGAAGAGAGGGUGUUCACCUCUCUUCCUAGCUGGUCCUGUACACAGCAGCGUCUUAACACAGUUAAGCACGACUGGCUUAAGAGAGUUCAAAGUGCCGGGGGAGAAACUCGUCCCCGUUGAUGCAGGAGACCCAUGAUCGAGGGCGUUCCACGUGGCUUAACCCUCUUUCGCUUUCGUAGCGGCUCGCGUGCACGCCUGCAAUUCGUUCGGGCUCCAAGAUUAGGAUUGCGGGAAAGACGAGCAUGCAGGCGCGAGAAGCCGCGAGCUCGGGGCUUCGGCCGAAUGAAUUUUUCGCGAGAUCGCAACGGGGAAUACUUGGUCUUCUGUAUUGUUACGUUACGUUACGCCUGCGGUGUCAGCAUCCGUUCCGCGAAUUCGAAUGUCAGAUAUAAAUUAUGUUGAUCCUGGCAAGCAGAGGUUUCACGUAUGAACAUUAUUCGGUUGUUAACUAAGUAAUCCAGAUUGCGUCUGGAUCACGAUACAACUCAAUGUAGCGAUGUUUCGGAAAAUUUUGUUGUUUUUUCAAAAGUUGCCUAUAUAAUCUCGCUAUAAAAUUAAUAUACGAUAAGUUAUGUUGUGCUAUAUAUAAUAUGGAUUUAUUUUAAUUUAUUGCCAUCUAAACGCGAUCCGGAUUAGUUAAUUAAUGGCCUAAUAAUACUUCGGGGAGAGUUGAUUCGAAUUUCCUUUUUUUCUUCUUAUUCUUUUUUUUCUUUUAUUAUUUUAUUUAUUGAAGAUUCGUUAAUUGCUGGAAUCAUGGAAACCAGUAAGAUUAAGAUCAGAUGUUCCUCCCUGCAAAUGUGUAUUUAAUCGCAGCAAAAUGAAAACGAUAUUUAUGCGAUGGUACGUCGAACAAAUAAUCGACACUGUAAUUGGCCGACUAUAAGCGAGCGAUAAGUACGCUAGUAGUGCAAGUAAUCAUUACGCAGUGAGCGUUACGACAAUAUAAUGCCGUCGUUAGAAAGUAUGGUUGAGGCACGCUCCGAUAAAUCACAAUGAGACGUUACAAAAAUGAGAAGUUGUUAAGUGCGAACUGUCAUUCACCACGGAAAGCUUUUAACGCUAGGAGUAACAAAUGGGAAGUACUAGAAUCUUGCAAAACAGCGUCAAUCUAAACUGAUAUCGUCGAGUUCCGUAGCUCUCAGUCGCAAUUUUCUUCAGUUUGUCAGUAUCUACAAGGUAUCGCCAUCCUUUAAAUUUUCGCGAAAAAAUUUGCCACUUCUUGAUUUACGUUGCAGUUUUUGCAAUUUUUGCACUUUCCUCUUGCGACUACUUUCUCAAAUAUCUGACGAGUAUCAAUGAUUGUUUUAGUAACUUAGAUGAAAGCGAUGGAGCGUCUAUGUUGUGGCGGGAGGAAAUCCGCUGUCGCUCAGUGAAAUCGAAACGCUUCCGGCAGCGUGUUGACAUGGUUUUCACAAAAUUCGUAAAUUCGUGCUUCUCGCACGUCCGCCUUCCGUUAGGAAACGUCGGGCGGGAGCGGGAAUCAAAGUCGUGGGAAACUCCGAGCGCGCAUCGAGCAUGGGAAUAGGAGGUAUCGGUUAUAAUUCUAUAGCAUGGUUCGGUUAAGUACCUUCCGAUUAAAGUCGGCGGCCACGUGAAAGUAUACAGUUAUGGUUGCAGGGGCGUCCACAUUCGUAUACCGGCAAGUUUGCUGCAGCAGCAGAAACUGCCGGAAUACCGAAAAUCGGAUUACUUCAAAAUUCGAAUGGCGUGACGUUUUCCGAAUCGAAAGCUCAAAUACGAGGGAAAAAACGAAGAUACUGUAUGACACGCGGAUUCUGAUUAAAAAUCUCAAGAUCUGAAAGAUAUAUGAAAUCCAUCUAAUAUCUGACUUGUAAAAAAUUAAUUAUUAUCUUAAAUUCAAAGUCGUAUCAGUAUGUCAAAUCGAUUACAGGCUCAACUAUUUCCAUCAUUGUCAUUGUAACUGUUCAAUACUCAUUGUCAUUUCGACAAAAUAUCGCGAGAUUCGAUGCACUUGCGAUUUUCGAGACGUCGCAGAGUGCCACGCUGAAACAUUCCAGCGAGAAAACGGUAGAAUAAUAACGUUCCCGGAACAUUUUGGAUCUCUUUGCGCCAUCCAGCAGCGGCGUGAUUUACGCUCGUGCGAGUAACGGCGGGUCUCCAGUAAGUUCGAAUUACAAUUACCAGCCCGUUUGAAACAAGUUCGAGACAUAGUGAUAGGUUCGCACGCGUAUCAUCAGAGACAUGCAUGCACGAAACAAUAAUCGACUCUAACGCGCCGUCAUCGGUGUCCUUUCGCGGUUUUCGUGCAGCACACAUCGGUUGUUCGCCGUUUGCAAUGUGUAAUAUCUGUCCAACGACCGCGAGUGGUUUUCAUGCGAUCGUGUUCGAUUGCGAGAGUUUCUUCUAGUUUUAUACGUGAAGAUAUUGUCGUAGCUGACGAUUUAACGAUAUAAUGUAUCAGCUGACGAGUUUUACGAGAUACUUGCAAGACGUUUAUUUUAAUUAAUUAAUUAUAUAUAGCUCAUAAAAUAAAUAGUCAGAAAUCAGAAAUUCUUUAAUAUUCUCUACUAAUUUCCAAAUAAACAAUUUCUUCUCUGACGAAUCCUAUAGUUUCCUUCAAAUCCUGAGGCGCGCUGAAGCUUCAAUUCUCGCGCAAAAAUUUCAUGCCGCAGGAUGAAUCCCUUUCUCACUUAAUUUCGACGUUCGGCAUUGUCAGAGGCUACUUUUGAAAUUGGAGAAGGGUAGUUACGGGCGCGUCUCGACAUUUGCGGGGGACUGAGAACCGCUGCUCGCAUGAGUUUCAUUAAUCUGACCGCGCCUGGAGCCUCGUCUUGUAUCGUGUCUACGUGUGCACCGUCUCGCACGUUUCUCUGCGCGUGUAUGCUCUUAGAUGCACGCCACACACACACACAUACGCACACAUCGAGCUAGCAACCCGGUUCAUUACCGUCUCCGGUGUACAAGCGCACGUAUGCAAGAGACCUGUGUGUGCACGUGGACCGGCUCUACGUGCGCACGAAUAAAAACAUGAGAGUGCAGGUAGAAGUGCGCUCGAAUAAAAAGACCAAGGUGUACCGGGUGAUCAGAAAGUAAUAGCCGUGAUUUGUCCGCCGCCAGAAUGGGCCUGGUGGAUACGUGAGCUCGCGCGCGGCGCGGCACCGAGGAUAAUCGCUGGACCGCUCUGUCAGCUCGCGGGAUGCUGAUUGCGGCGCGAUUUCAAUCCGGCAUCGGUAUCCGUCUCUUUUCCUUGUUGCUGCUCGUUUUGCGGCGAUAAGGGCGGGCCGAUUAGAAGCACCUCACGCACGCACGCACGAGUCAUGCGUUAUCGUGAAGUUUUCGUGCUCGGCGGAAUGGCGGAUAAAUCAAGGAAUUGAUAAUUAUCAACUUUCCGGUCGGCCAAGUUCUCCGAGCGGCCCGAACCGGUUUUGGCAUACAUUCAUGAGAACAAUCGUAAAUCAAUUUGAGAGAUUGAACUUUUGACAAACGCCUCUGGGUGGCCGGCGGGCUUAGGUCAACAUUGAAUCACGCGCGAAAUAAUGACAAUUUGUAAAUGACCGGCCGGCUAACGGCCGCGGCGGUGAAUAUUUUAUUCUCCGGCGAUGUGCGAUACGCGAGUCCUCCCCCUCUCCACCUCCUCCCCCGCGACAUCGCUUUAUCGCGUAAUUAUCGUCUGAAUUUAACAGCCAGGAAACGAUAAAUCAAAUCAUUUUUUGUGACUGCUGUUGCAGUUUUCCGAGAAUCCGCGGUCUCGUGGACGGACGGGUAAAACUAUCCUGAGGAAAUGAACGUGGCUUCUAUAUGCUGAAGCUCAAAGCGCAGUGGAAGUAAUAAUUGUCAAUAUCAUUAUAAUUAUAUAUAAACUUCGUGUAUGAAACUGAAGGGAACAUUAAUCGGAUUUAUUUUCCUACAACUUUUGAUUCUUCUUUAAAUCUCGCUUUUCGAAUCAACGCAGUCAGAUUCACGUGCGAGAUUGUGUGUCACGAGAGUCACGCAACUGAAUUAAAUUCACGAGACAACAAUGUAAAAAUGUAAUCUGUAGAACUCGGCUGACGUGAAGAUUAAACACAUCCUGAAUUCUGAAACGUUUCGUUCUACGAUCCGUUCUCAUAUCCUGGGAAUUUCUCCGAUCAGAAAUUCCGAUGCUCCUGACCGCGAUUGUUGCUUUCCUCUUAUCGCCGGAAUGCUCUUCCAGAUGAAAGGAGCGAGAAAGACGGAACGAGGAGAGAGAGAAAAAGAGAGAAAGAGAGAGAGAGAGAGAGAGAGGGAAUUGCAUUACGAAGAUACACCCACAAGUUCAAACACCCGGCACUGCACGAUUGUAGCGGCGGUGUCUUUUAUGUAUGAGAUGCCAAAGUGGAAAAAUGAGAAAAACCAAUGCGAGAUUAAUCAACGACAUCCUUAAUACUCGCCGCAGGCGAUGAUGGAAGUUUUCAGAACUGCCGUAAGGCCGCUGGCCGUACGGUUUCACGCGAUGUGUGCUCUAUCAAAGAGAUCUUGUAAUCUCGUGUGCACCGUCGAGCGAAUAAAUUCACCAACGAACCGAGGCACGGGGUCAUUUAACUUCGCUAAUUAAAAAUUAUUAGUCGAGAAUCCCGUUUAUCGAAAUAAAUCAUCAUUAUUUUCAUUCCGUUCCUUCAUAGACAGAGAUAAAUCUCAGCAUUCAUUACAAACAAAGCAAAAACUAUUGCUUCGUAAAAUUGUUACGAUACAACAAUAUCUUGAAUGAUUCUUCCAAUGUCUAAAGAUAGAAUCCAAUUAUAAUAUUUUAUCAUAAUAUUUAAUAUUAAAAACCGUAAAACAUUCGAAAUUUAUCAUGAUUUAUGUAAAAUGACAAUGACAAACGCGGAAAAUGUUUAGUGUUAUCGAUGCAAGAAUAUCAAGAUAUUCUUUGAAAAAAUCAAGCAUUAUAUAAAUUUUACAGAACAAUAACUUUCUUAAGAAGUUUAAGUUCUUAAAAUAAGUUUAAAAACACAGAAAAUAUCGCAAUAAUAAAUUACUCGAGAAGAAACCUAUUUCUUAAAACGAGAUGAUAACACUUUUCUCGAAAUCCGUCAAUAAAGUCGAGGCAGACACGAUAUUGAGCAUUCAUCUUUACAACAUACUCGUGCCAUCACAGCGGAGCGGAGAAUUAACAGCAAAUCUCAAACGGCAAAAUAAUUACAGCACGCAGAUAUGAGAAAAAAGCCUAAUCGCGGAAGUGCAUCGUGGGCAUCGUACGAUCGAUCCGAUCGGCGCUAAUUAACUGUCAAAUUAACACGAGUUAUCUUUCCCUCGAGGGGACCACGAGAAUAAGAGCCUAAUCCCGACCACACGCUAUCGCGCAUUCUAGCUGUCUAAAUUUAUCGAUGUGAAAUUACACAUUAGUAAAAAAACAUCAGUAAAAAAUCAGUAACUAUUUUUCUAGAAUGUUGAUACAAGUAAAUUUCCAGAAUAAAUUUCUUUUCCUUAAAGAAAACCAAAAUUCUUGACAUCUUUCACAAGAAACUCUUGAUUGUAAAGAAUAAAGUCUGGAAAUGUAGAACAUGCGGCAUCCUAUCGUUGCGUCUGCGUCGCGUAGCAUGCAUUUUACGACACAUUUAUCUCUGCAUUAUCCCCGUGUAAAUGACGUGCAAAAACGAAAUAGCGAACAUUAGUCUCUUAGAGACGCUUAAGAGGAAAUUGCGCCAUGUAGAGUAGCGCUUAUGACGUGCAGAAAAGAACGGUUACCUUGAUACCAGUAUGAAUGAUAAAUACCGUAAAAGUAGCAACUGCAAUACCAUUUUUUGUGCAACAUCUGAUCAACGAUCGGGUAUUACUCGUGUCAUUCAGCUGUGACACGUUCGCGUUGAUGUAAAGCGAAUUUACGCAACGACGUACGCUUAAUUCGCUGCGUGUGCGCAAGUGCGUGCGGCAAAGUCGCGCAAUCAAUCAAUAUUAAAUUUUUGCGUUCACGCUAUCAAAAAUCAUGAGAGAAAUCCUUAUUGCAAGACAGCUCCAGUUUUACAAUAAAUGCAAAGCACUUCAGUUGUUAAGAAGUUAUCUCAGAGAAAAGACUUCUGUAAGCAGAAAAUUUAUUGUAAAUGUGGUAUUUCUUGUUAUCAAUAUACCGAACAAUUUUUCUCAUUUCUUACAUUCGGAUCAUACCACACGGAAACACGGCAAUUAUUUUUAUUAUAAAAAAAAAACAGGAAAGGAAUUUUUUCGUAAAUGCUAUUCAUGAUUGCGAGAGAUAACUAUCUGAGAGAAAUAAAAUAAUAGGAUGUCUGUAGAAAAAAGUAAAAAGACGAUUGCGCAAUCGCAAAAUUCCGCAUCUCAACGUAAGAUUAGUCCGCGCCAUCCCACUGCUGAUUCUAAUGACGGGCACUUUUUUUCAAAUCACUCGUCUGGCGAAGAGUGCUCAUUAUUUUGCAAUUCCUCGGUCCUUAAGCACCGACAUGCACUCAAGUCAUACGUAAUUAUUGGCACGAUACUAUUCGCGUUGGAUUUACACGAGUGUCGGAUGCAUUUGCUCGUAAGGCAAAAAGCACAUACUCGCAAACGCAUCGUCAGCAAGAAAGACACGACUCGCACCUCACACUUAACACCCAUGUGAAUUUGACACCCCAUUUUUAAGAAAUUAACUUUUGAAUACGCUUAAAUGUGAUGGGCAACGCAACAAGUUUCCGACGAAGACUACCGGAUCGAUCGUCAUUCCCAUGAGUGCACUCUGCGCUGUUGAAACAGCGUGGCCAGAAAACCGAUGCAAUCGUCGACCAAAUCGCAAGUGUAAUCGACUGCCACGGAAAUUUUUAGUUGCGUAAUGUUGCUCUCGCGCAAAAUUAAAUUGCACAAAUGACUUAUAUGCUUAAUGAAUACUUAAUGAAUACGAUUCUACGGGACUGUCGAUCGGUGAUCGGGAUCUGCAUGUACAUACACGUGCACGCACACCAC